rnacentral:rRNA from 1 species
CCCUUAGAUGUUCUGGGCCGCACCCGCGCUACACUGGCAGGUUCAUCGAGCUUCAUGCCCUGAUCUGAGAAGAACGGGAAAUCUUUGAACACCUGCCGUGCUUGGGAUAGAUGUUUGCAAUUAUUCAUCUUCAACGAGGAUUGCCUUGUAAGCGCACGUCAUCAGCGUGCAUUGAAUACGACCCUGUAUUCUGUACACACCGCCCGUCGCUCCUACCGAUUGAAGGUUUCGGUGAAUUUACUGGAGAUCCCUUUUGAAGGUGGUUCGCCACUGGAAGAAGUAUUCAAAAGUAAAUGAAUCGAAUGCUUUAGAGGAAGGAGAAGUCGUAACA